UACGGAGGGUGCGAGCGUUGUUCGGAAUUAUUGGGCGUAAAGCGCGUGUAGGCGGUUUGUUAAGUCUGAUGUGAAAGCCCCGGGCUCAACCUGGGAAGUGCAUUGGAAACUGGCAGACUUGAAUACGGGAGAGGGUAGUGGAAUUCCUAGUGUAGGAGUGAAAUCCGUAGAUAUUAGGAGGAACACCGGUGGCGAAGGCGGCUGCCUGGACCGAUAUUGACGCUGAGACGCGAAAGCGUGGGUAGCAAACAGG
rnacentral:rRNA from 1 species